rnacentral:lncRNA from 1 species
AGUACCUUAUCUUUCUUUUGCCAAAGUGUUCCCCAACUAUUUUUUCAAAUUUUCCAAAUAAUUCCUCAAACAAAAAUUAUGAAAAAUAAAUAAAUUUACUAAAUUAAAAUAAAUAAAUAAAAUAACAUAAAAUAAACAUCAGAAAAAAUAGAGAAAAAGAAAAUGUUAGUGAUAAACAAAUAUAAAAUUAAAAUAAAAAAAUAAAAUUAAAACCAAAAUGAUA